CACCCGAAGCCGGUGGAGUAACCUUUUAGGAGCUAGCCGUCGAAGGUGGGACAAAUGAUUGGGGUGAAGUCGUAACAAGGUAGCCGUAUCGGAAGGUGCGGCUGGAUCACCUCCUUU
rnacentral:rRNA from 1 species